AUUGAACGCUGGCGGAAUGCUUUACACAUGCAAGUCGAACGGCAGCACGGGUGCUUGCACCUGGUGGCGAGUGGCGAACGGGUGAGUAAUAUAUCGGAACGUAUCCAAUAAUGGGGGAUAACUAGCCGAAAGGUUAGCUAAUACCGAAUACGCCCUGAGGGGGAAAGCUGGGGAUCGUAAGACCUAGCGUUGAUGGAGCGGCCGAUAUCUGAUUAGCUAGUUGGUGGGGUAAGAGCCUACCAAGGCGACGAUCAGUAGCUGGUCUGAGAGGACGACCAGCCACACUGGAACUGAGACACGGUCCAGACUCCUACGGGAGGCAGCAGUGGGGAAUUUUGGACAAUGGGGGCAACCCUGAUCCAGCCAUUCCGCGUGAGUGAAGAAGGCCUUCGGGUUGUAAAGCUCUUUCGCAAGGGAAGAAAACUCGAUCUCUAAUAUAGGUUGAGGCUGACGGUACCUUGAUAAGAAGCACCGGCUAACUACGUGCCAGCAGCCGCAGUAA
rnacentral:rRNA from 1 species